GACUACCCAGACCUAUCUUAGGUGGAACCUGUAGGAUGCUUCAUUGUUGCAGUUUGCUCAGCCAGUUAUUAGUUUACUGCCAGCUCAGUGCAUGCACAGCAGUUUCUUUCUCUGGCCUUUGCCUCC